CCGACAGCUGAAGUGGAAAAACCGGGAACAUUUUGUGAUAAAUCAAGAAGUUUCUGACAAAGGACAUUGAGAUAAUGGCAACACGAUCUCGAGAGAGUGAAAGUACUGAAACUAUCUGAGGGGGUCACCUUUUGCGAGUUGAAGCAAACACUGACAGGCUGAUAAGUAUAUGAGCAUGCGAUACUUCUACGUAACCAUAGCAGAGUUUUCAGUUUAAACUGUUAAAAAGAACAUCUCACAAGCUAUAAUCAUAAAUGAAACUAUCGAAAUGUAGGUCUAAAAUAAAAGCAAGGGAAGAACAACCCUCGAUUCCUGAAUAUGCUUCUUUAAAAGCAUUUGGGGAUUCGGUUUAGGAAGUGAGUUGCCCUUCUCUGACUAUUUUAAAGGAUGUUGUGAUGUAGACCAGUAGGCCUAUAGUAGAUGACGAAUGAAUGCACUUCGUACCGCCAGGAAAACGUUAGAGAAGCAGAGUUAUCCGCCCUGCCCCAACAAGGCAGUCGAAUGAUGGAUCAACAACUUCAAAAGACCCCACAGUGGGGGAGGGGACUGUUUGUGUCAGGUUGUAUACGCAUGGCCUAGACAGGUUAACAAAAAUGUCUUAACAUUUUGAUUUGCUUUUCGUGUCCCUCGUUUAUGCGAGCUGGGCUAUAGAAAGACAGCUUUUAGACGAGGCUCGAGUAAAUGUGAGCCGCUUUUAGGGUGGGAAGUUCCAUUAUCCCUUAACCCCCCUCCCCGAUUUUCUGUGGUAGCGACAUUUUUAAACAAAUAACCCACAAAAAGAUAUUCAAUUUUUCUACUGCCUGUGCUUUUGUAACUUUUCUUUAAUUUUGUAAAAAUGUCUUUUGUAGGGGUUUAAAUAAUUGGCGAGAACUUGGCUGUCGAAAAGAAGGAAGGCGCCAAAUACGUUACGAACGAAUUUGCAUACGAGCGAAGCUAGCAAAAUCGCCCUCUGGCUAAAAACUCAAAAAGAAAACAUCAGAAACAAAAACAAAAGCCGACGCGUAGAUUUGGCAUGACGAAUUCGAUGUUUUUCGUGAACAGAUCAAUUCAAGGCCAAUCGAAACUUGUCACACAAGCUAACGGUGCGUUCGCUUGUCUACAACGAAGCACAUUCGACACGAUAGCUACAAGUUAGAAUCUGGCCAAAUGUAUUGCACUCACGCAUUCGAAAAAAGCAUUUUGAAGUGUUUGAAUCGAUGACUUUUAAAGUCAUGCAAAUUUGAUUAAAAAUUGCUCAACAAACCUAAUUUACCCUGUUAACCAUUUUCAAUAGUUUUUUACGAACGAAAACUGUUAACCAUAGAUUAUCUUUCUGAAUAGGUCUAUCACAAACCCCGCUCGAUGUUCGUUACCCCUAACCGACGAAAACGCAACCCUAAAAUGAACAGUGCGAUCAUAAAACCUAAGGGUUCUGCGUUGCGAACGAACGAAUUUGUGCUGAUGUCAACAGUGUAACGGAGUCUCCGAAUCGACGCAUCAAACUACCGACUUCAUUAUUUAUUGCAUUUGAGAUUUAUGCAUUCUUGAAACAUGAGUUGCAACGUUCAGGAGAAUCAUUUCACUAGAAUGAAUGUAUAUUCUUAUUUCGCUUACCAUGCAAUGCUAUAGCCUAAUAUAAAGUUCGCAAGACUGGCCAACUGAUGAAUCCCCUUAACUCAUUUUACACCAUCCGCCGUUAUUUGAAUAUUGACUUGAUUUAUGCAAGAGUCAUCUAAACCCCGAAAACAAGUUUCAAGCGAAACUCAAUGACAAUGUAAAAUAGCAGUCUGCCAGUUGCCUUCUUAGAGUUAUCACCUAAAAUCCUGUGUUUCUCCCUUCUUCGCAAACACAGUUUUGACUUCCCUCAUAGGUCUAUAACAAUUUGUUCCAUUUUAAAAUCGUAUUUUCUUCGUAGCUUCAUCAUUUUAUCGUGCCCUACCGUUUAUUUUAUUCACCCUAUUUUGAUGAUGCGCCUUCUUAUUUUCUUCUUUCACGGCAACGUGCGAUGACCUGACGGAGAAAAGAAAAAUUUCCCAGCAACAUCAGCAAAUUUUCUGGUUUUGUUUGAGUUGCGACGAUGCCAAAGGAUCUGAAUUAAAAAGCCAGCGCUCAUCCAGUCGUGCAAUAGCUUGGCAGCCUGCUUCUUAUAGGCCUACUCUUAUAGGAAUAGGUCCUAUUUUAUUGCUAUUUAUUUUUGACAAGAGAGAAAUGAGGGUAGCUGUUCUUCUUAUAGCAUUCGCCUCACUAGCUCUUUGUUCCUAUUUUGUCGACGCUGGCUGGCCAAUUGCAGAUAAUGGAAAAGUUUGUCGAUCAUAAUGUUUGAAAAACUUCAGAUUGGACUACUUCACAUGCGCUACUAACUUGUUUGAGCCGUGGGAGAAAUAUGCAAUCCAGCACGAGUAAUAGGGAAUGGAAAAUCCGUGUUAACGAAAACCCAACUAGAAUUCUGCAUGAGCGAGUGAAACACACAAGGAUAGGCCUACUCUUACACCUGAUGCUGGACGCACACGAGCUGGGACUAUUGCGAACCAAGUUCGACUAGGGUUCGGCAACAUAUAACCAGAUGGGGUGAAUAUUGCACAGGUAACUUUAAACAUACACUAUAUUAUAAACAUUCACGGAGAUUCAAAGGGGAACUAGUUUUUGGUGAAAAAAUUAUUGCACAAAAAGCGACGGCUCGUUCAUGCAACGUAGACUGCUUCGUUUCUUGAUUUUGGCCGUCGGCCGUGGACGAUCAGUCUCUGAAUUUUUCGGCUUGGUGUACGACGUUUGAAGCGCGUUGAUCAUCACCUGGCGUCAAGUGGUCAUCGUGUACGAUGGAGUGUAAGAUCUGCAACUGGUCCAGAUGUUUCAGCCCGCGUUGGUCUUCGCGGUUGCCAAGGUGGUCGGAAGUCACCGUGAUUUUUAGUUCCUUUGUUUCAUCACUUGCCGACGUGGUAACGGCUGCGUUUUCGCAAAUUGGUUCAGGAGGAGGGAUAGAAAAAAAGCAACUUACAGUCGUUUGAUGUUCCGACGCUGAUGCUGGUAUGACAGAUUCAUCCGCAAAUAUGCUUUUUCAAUAUUGGUGAUUUUCCUUGUCUUCGUGUUUUUCCGGGUGGGAAGAGGCUUUCUCAAUAGUGACUCGGCUUGCGACAAUAGAUGCAAUAUUUUAAUUUUCAGUGUUUUACUUACAUAUUUUUUUAGUUUCUUGAAUUUCUCCAACCCAUGGCCUACUAUAAUCACGGCCCAUCAGCUUGCUAUCUCUCUGUAGCCAAAAAUGAAUUGGGAUCGCUCCGCCCAUUCAUAGCCAGAGGGUCGUAGGCCCUGUCAAACUUUUCCAAAUUCCACUGCUUCUUUCCACCUUUUAAAAUGUUUUUAAAUUCUGCCAUUGCCGUGCUUCUGACGUCAUGAUUCAAAUCGCUCAGCCAGGGUGUUUGAGACAUAACGCCAACAAAAUGCAAAUAAUAACAAGUAAAAUGGGAAGCAAGUACUUUUCAGAGAGCUAGACCAAGCCGGGCACUGUCUGAGGCCCAGCACACAAUGUGUAAUUUAUUUCCACAGCGGCUGAGGAUCUGGGGGAGCCAACUGAAGUAGAUUAGUAGGAACAGGAACUUACUUUUAGUAAUGGGCAAAGCAUUGAAUUUUACUUACGAACAACAACAACAUCGGCCACGCCUAUUACCCCCCAGAAUUAUGGGGGGCUCUUUAGGCCAAAUUUGCUAUUACCCCCCAUAAUUCUGUGGGGCUCUAGUGAUCGAAUAUGCUAUUACCCCACAGAAAACGGAGUAGAAUUUACCACUAGGUAUAGAUAUAAUUACUGUUAUUGAAUUUAUGUUGUCAAAUAUUUACGGCAAAAAUAAUAAAUACACUAAAUUUGACAAUCA